ensembl:lncRNA
GUUAAGCCAAAAAAUAAAGAUGGCGUCUGAAAGUUGUGGUCGGUGGUCAGUUUGUGAGUAAAUGCAGUAUUUUUCAGUUUUCAGUGGCCUAAACGACUCAGCAGCAUCAUUCUACUUUUGCUUCAGACUGACAGUGAUCCUGAUGACCCUGAAAUUCUGAGUAGUCCAGCACCUUCAUUGUGCAAUUUGUGAAGGUUGUCAGUGCUGUUGUUCUGUCCUGAUGACCAUUUGUGGGAUUGGACGGAGGCAGCCGUGCCUGACUUGGGGGCUGAUGGUCCACUGAUUGCACAGAUGUCCCUAAGAAGGCGAGAUGCUGUGGAAAUGAUGGAUGACGUGAGUCCUGCCCCUCUGCCCUCGGCUAUCAAGCGCUGUCUGGAAAACAACGGAAAACCUCUCAAUCAACGGAGACUGUCCGGAAGUUUAAAAUGAAACUAGUUUGAGAUGUAAAAGAUGUGCUGGUGUGUUACCUGUUGGAGAGCUUGAACUCCUGCAAGUUUUACAGUUUGUAUACGUAAGAUAGAGACUGCUGGGUGAUAUGGCCAAAAAAUAUGGCAUAAUAUCGAUAUUUACGUAGCAUGAUAUUCAUUUACCAUUAAAUAGAGAAGAAAAUGCUUUUCACAUGUAUGAAUAAAAAAAUGACCAGUCUGUUCACAAUUUAACUUUGAAGAGUAGCUUCCUUUUAAUUUAGCACUCUGUGAAAUCCAUUUUUUCCCUAAGAUUUUUUUAAAUUCUGUAUUUUAUUAUUUAAUACAAGUUUAUCAUCACAACUUGUCUAAGUAAACAUUAACAACUUAAUUAUCUUUUAAAAUGUAAUCACAAUAUGAUAUUUAUAACAAAACAUAG